rnacentral:rRNA from 1 species
CCUACGGGCGGCAGCAGUGAGGAAUAUUGGUCAAUGGGCGCGAGCCUGAACCAGCCAAGUAGCGUGAAGGAUGACUGCCCUACGGGUUGUAAACUUCUUUUAUAAAGGAAUAAAGUGAGGCACGUGUGCCUUUUUGUAUGUACUUUAUGAAUAAGCAUCGGCUAACUCCGUGCCAGCAGCCGCGGUAAUACGGAGGAUGCGAGCGUUAUCCGGAUUUAUUGGGUUUAAAGGGUGCGUAGGUGGUUAAUUAAGUCAGCGGUGAAAGUUUGUGGCUCAACCAUAAAAUUGCCGUUGAAACUGGUUGACUUGAGUAUAUUUGAGGUAGGCGGAAUGCGUGGUGUAGCGGUGAAAUGCAUAGAUAUCACGCAGAACUCCGAUUGCGAAGGCAGCCUGCUGGACGACAACUGACGGUGAGGCGCGAAAGCGUGGGGAGCAAACAGGAUUAGAUACCCGGGUAGUC